GGUUAAGCGACUAAGCGUACACGGUGGAUGCCCUGGCAGUCAGAGGCGAUGAAGGACGUGCUAAUCUGCGAAAAGCGCCGGCGAGGUGAUAUGAACCCUUGACCCGGCGAUGUCCGAAUGGGGAAACCCAGUGUGUUCCGACACACUAUCGUUAACUGAAUACAUAGGUUAACGAGGCGAACCGGGGGAACUGAAACAUCUAAGUACCCCGAGGAAAAGAAAUCAACCGAGAUUCCCCCAGUAGCGGCGAGCGAACGGGGAGCAGCCCGGAGUCUGAAUCAGCUUGUGUGUUAGUGGAACGGUCUGGAAAGUCCGACGGUACAGGGUGAUAGUCCCGUACACGAAAACACACUUGCUGUGAACUCGAAGAGUAGGGCGGGACACGUGGUAUCCUGUCUGAAUAUGGGGGGACCAUCCUCCAAGGCUAAAUACUCCUGACUGACCGAUAGUGAACCAGUACCGUGAGGGAAAGGCGAAAAGAACCCCGGCGAGGGGAGUGAAAAAGAACCUGAAACCGUGUACGUACAAGCAGUGGGAGCCUCUUUAUGGGGUGACUGCGUACCUUUUGUAUAAUGGGUCAGCGACUUAUAUUCUGUAGCAAGGUUAACCGUAUAGGGGAGCCGAAGGGAAACCGAGUCUUAACUGGGCGUUAAGUUGCAGGGUAUAGACCCGAAACCCGGUGAUCUAGCCAUGGGCAGGUUGAAGGUUGGGUAACACUAACUGGAGGACCGAACCGACUAAUGUUGAAAAAUUAGCGGAUGACCUGUGGCUGGGGGUGAAAGGCCAAUCAAACCGGGAGAUAGCUGGUUCUCCCCGAAAGCUAUUUAGGUAGCGCCUCGUGAACUCAUCUUCGGGGGUAGAGCACUGUUUCGGCUAGGGGGCCAUCCCGGCUUACCAACCCGAUGCAAACUACGAAUACCGAAGAAUGUUAUCACGGGAGACACACGGCGGGUGCUAACGUCCGUCGUGAAGAGGGAAACAACCCAGACCGCCAGCUAAGGUCCCAAAGUCAUGGUUAAGUGGGAAACGAUGUGGGAAGGCACAGACAGCCAGGAUGUUGGCUUAGAAGCAGCCAUCAUUUAAAGAAAGCGUAAUAGCUCACUGGUCGAGUCGGCCUGCGCGGAAGAUGUAACGGGGCUAAACCAUGCACCGAAGCUGCGGCAGCGACACUUAUGUGUUGUUGGGUAGGGGAGCGUUCUGUAAGCCGUUGAAGGUGUGCUGUGAGGCAUGCUGGAGGUAUCAGAAGUGCGAAUGCUGACAUAAGUAACGAUAAAGCGGGUGAAAAGCCCGCUCGCCGGAAGACCAAGGGUUCCUGUCCAACGUUAAUCGGGGCAGGGUGAGUCGACCCCUAAGGCGAGGCCGAAAGGCGUAGUCGAUGGGAAACAGGUUAAUAUUCCUGUACUUGGUGUUACUGCGAAGGGGGGACGGAGAAGGCUAUGUCAGCCGGGCGACGGUUGUCCCGGUUUAAGCAUGUAGGCGGAGGUUCCAGGUAAAUCCGGUACCUUUUAACGCUGAGGUGUGAUGACGAGGCACUACGGUGCUGAAGUGAUAAAUGCCCUGCUUCCAGGAAAAGCCUCUAAGCAUCAGGUAACACGAAAUCGUACCCCAAACCGACACAGGUGGUCAGGUAGAGAAUACCAAGGCGCUUGAGAGAACUCGGGUGAAGGAACUAGGCAAAAUGGUGCCGUAACUUCGGGAGAAGGCACGCUGAUAGGUAGGUGAAGCCCCUGCGGGCGGAGCUGAAAUCAGUCGAAGAUACCAGCUGGCUGCAACUGUUUAUUAAAAACACAGCACUGUGCAAACACGAAAGUGGACGUAUACGGUGUGACGCCUGCCCGGUGCCGGAAGGUUAAUUGAUGGGGUCAGCGGCAACGCGAAGCUCUUGAUCGAAGCCCCGGUAAACGGCGGCCGUAACUAUAACGGUCCUAAGGUAGCGAAAUUCCUUGUCGGGUAAGUUCCGACCUGCACGAAUGGCGUAAUGAUGGCCAGGCUGUCUCCACCCGAGACUCAGUGAAAUUGAACUCGCUGUGAAGAUGCAGUGUACCCGCGGCAAGACGGAAAGACCCCGUGAACCUUUACUAUAGCUUGACACUGAACACUGGUCCUUGAUGUGUAGGAUAGGUGGGAGGCUUUGAAGCGUGGACGCCAGUCUGCGUGGAGCCAUCCUUGAAAUACCACCCUUUAAUGGCUGGUGUUCUAACGUAGACCCGUGAUCCGGGUUGCGGACAGUGUCUGGUGGGUAGUUUGACUGGGGCGGUCUCCUCCCAAAGAGUAACGGAGGAGCACGAAGGUUGGCUAAUCCUGGUCGGACAUCAGGAGGUUAGUGCAAUGGCAUAAGCCAGCUUGACUGCGAGCGUGACGGCGCGAGCAGGUGCGAAAGCAGGUCAUAGUGAUCCGGUGGUUCUGAAUGGAAGGGCCAUCGCUCAACGGAUAAAAGGUACUCCGGGGAUAACAGGCUGAUACCGCCCAAGAGUUCAUAUCGACGGCGGUGUUUGGCACCUCGAUGUCGGCUCAUCACAUCCUGGGGCUGAAGUAGGUCCCAAGGGUAUGGCUGUUCGCCAUUUAAAGUGGUACGCGAGCUGGGUUUAGAACGUCGUGAGACAGUUCGGUCCCUAUCUGCCGUGGGCGCUGGAGAAUUGAGGGGGGCUGCUCCUAGUACGAGAGGACCGGAGUGGACGCAUCACUGGUGUUCGGGUUGUCAUGCCAAUGGCACUGCCCGGUAGCUAAAUGCGGAAGAGAUAAGUGCUGAAAGCAUCUAAGCACGAAACUUGCCCCGAGAUGAGUUCUCCCUGAGACUUUAAGUCUCCUGAAGGAACGUUGAAGACGACGACGUUGAUAGGUCGGGUGUGUAAGCGCAGCGAUGCGUUGAGCUAACCGAUACUAAUGAACCGUGAGGCUUAACCUU
rnacentral:rRNA from 1 species